rnacentral:piRNA from 1 species
UAACAGUCAUGGUUUGGAUCUUAAAUGUC